rnacentral:rRNA from 1 species
GAUGAACGCUAGCGGCAGGCUUAACACAUGCAAGUCGAGGGGUAGAAGCAGCUUGCUGCUUUGAGACCGGCGCACGGGUGCGUAACGCGUAUGCAAUCUACCUUUUACAGAGGGAUAGCCCAGAGAAAUUUGGAUUAAUACCUCAUAGUAUGUGAGAAUCGCAUGGUUUUCACAUUAAAGUUCCAACGGUAAAAGAUGAGCAUGCGUCCCAUUAGCUAGAUGGUAAGGUAACGGCUUACCAUGGCGACGAUGGGUAGGGGUCCUGAGAGGGAGAUCCCCCACACUGGUACUGAGACACGGACCAGACUCCUACGGGAGGCAGCAGUGAGGAAUAUUGGACAAUGGGCGCAAGCCUGAUCCAGCCAUGCCGCGUGCAGGAUGACGGUCCUAUGGAUUGUAAACUGCUUUUGUACAGGAAGAAACACUCCCUCGUGAGGGAGCUUGACGGUACUGUAGGAAUAAGGAUC